rnacentral:rRNA from 1 species
UACAGGGGUCUCAAGCGUUGUUCGGAUUCAUUGGGCGUAAAGGGCGCGUAGGCUGCGGGGCAAGUCGGGUGUGAAAUCUCAGAGCUCAACUCUGAAACUGCACUCGAUACUGCUUUGCUUGAGGACUGGAGAGGAGAUUGGAAUUCACGGUGUAGCAGUGAAAUGCGUAGAUAUCGUGAGGAAGACCAGUGGCGAAGGCGGAUCUCUGGACAGUUCCUGACGCUGAGGCGCGAAGGCCAGGGGAGCAAACGGG